AUUCCAGCUCCAAAAGCGUAUAUUAAAGUUGUUGCAGUUAAAACGCUCGUAGUCGGAUUUCGGGGCGAGCCUGCCGGUCUGCCGAUGGGUAUGCACUGGCAGGGUCGUCCUUCCUUCCGGAGACUGUCCCUACUCUUAACUGAGCGGGGUCGGGAGACGGAUCGUUUACUUUGAAAAAAUCAGAGUGUUUCAAGCAGGCAGCUCGCUCUUGCAUGGAUUAGCAUGGGAUAAUGAAAUAGGACUUUGGUGCUAUUUUGUUGGUUUCGAACACCGAAGUAAUGAUUAACAGGGACAGUCAGGGGCACUCGUAUUCCGCCGAGAGAGGUGAAAUUCUCAGACCAGCGGAAGACGAACCACUGCGAAAGCAUUUGCCAGGGAUGUUUUCAUUA
rnacentral:rRNA from 1 species